AACCUCUGGGGAUUGCGUCUAGAGGGUGGCUAGUAUUCUGCCAGCUUUUGAAACAGGAGGGAAAGCCAGCCCUGCACAGGUCCCCAUUCCAGUCCUAGCUUCCUGAGUAGCUCGUGAUUGGGAGACACUCUGCAGCAUCA
ensembl:snoRNA